GCUGCCAAAGCAGUCCUCAAUUCUGCAUGCUAAGUUUGCUUGUUUUUCUGCUCUCUUGAAGUUCGCUAUGACAUUUGGAGGUUUUUCUUCUAGGCUAGUGUGUGGAAAAAAACUGCUGAAGAAUUAUGGAAUAUCCUAAACUUGGGUGAGUGAGGGGAUAUUCCCAGUUUGCCAGGAAGAUUGAUUUUGUCAAUCAUCCCCCGCCCUCAACUUCCACAACAACUUCUUCCACAUUAAGCCAGGAUACACUACUCGGAACACGAAACUGCAUUCCCCGGAACCUUGCGAUCCCAAGAAAAAGAAUAAUGUUCCUUCUCCAAUCCCAAACUCGCACGUGCCGCCCUCCA